rnacentral:tRNA from 1 species
AGCCUUAUAUUCAUAUAAAUUAUUAUAGAAUACAAUUCUGUGGGAGUAGCUGAAACGCUGCUAACGCUU